rnacentral:rRNA from 1 species
AGAGAGAGAGCGGCGUACGGGUGCGUAACACGUGUGCAACCUACCUUUAUCUGGGGGAUAGCCUUUCGAAAGAGAGAUUAAUACCCCAUAAUAUAUUGAUUGGCAUCAAUUAAUAUUGAAAACUCCGGUGGAUAGAGAUGGGCACGCGCAAGAUUAGAUAGUUGGUGAGGUAACGGCUCACCAAGUCAAUGAUCUUUAGGGGUCCUGAGAGGGAGAUCCCCCACACUGGUACUGAGACACGGACCAGACUCCUACGGGAGGCAGCAGUGAGGAAUAUUGGACAAUGGGUGAAAGCCUGAUCCAGCCAUCCCGCGUGAAGGAUGACGGUCCUAUGGAUUGUAAACUUCUUUUGUAUAGGGAUAAACCUAGAUACGUGUAUCUAGCUGAAGGUACUAUACGAAUAAGCACCGGCUAGCUCCGUGCCAGCAGCCGCGGUAAUACGGAGGGUGCAAGCGUUAUCCGGAUUUAUUGGGUUUAAAGGGUCCGUAGGCGGACCGAUAAGUCAGUGGUGAAAUCUCAUAGCUCAACUAUGAAACUGCCAUUGAUACUGUCGGUCUUGAGUAAAUUUGAAGUGGCUGGAAUAAGUAGUGUAGCGGUGAAAUGCAUAGAUAUUACUUA